rnacentral:rRNA from 1 species
GUGCUAAUCUGCGAAAAGCGCCGGUAAGGUGAUAUGAACCGUUAUAACCGGCGAUGUCCGAAUGGGGAAACCCAGUGUGACUCGUCACACUAUCAUUAACUGAAUCCAUAGGUUAAUGAGGCGAACCGGGGGAACUGAAACAUCUAAGUACCCCGAGGAAAAGAAAUCAACCGAGAUUCCCCCAGUAGCGGCGAGCGAACGGGGAGGAGCCCAGAGCCUGAAUCAGCAUGUGUGUUAGUGGAAGCGUCUGGAAAGGCGCGCGAUACAGGGUGACAGCCCCGUACACAAAAGCGCAUGUGCUGUGAGCUCGAUGAGUAGGGCGGGACACGUGGUAUCCUGUCUGAAUAUGGGGGGACCAUCCUCCAAGGCUAAAUACUCCUGACUGACCGAUAGUGAACCAGUACCGUGAGGGAAAGGCGAAAAGAACCCCGGCGAGGGGAGUGAAACAGAACCUGAAACCGUGUACGUACAAGCAGUGGGAGC